rnacentral:lncRNA from 10 species
CUGGAUUUCAGUCCCUUGUGUUGAGUUCCCUGGGGAUAAAAACAGAACUUUCUCAGUGAAAGACUGGCACGUUAGAAAUUCAUUCCUGCCUCCUUGCUUACGGCUCUCUCCUGGACAUGGGCAUAGGAAAAAGAAGAUUUAUGAAGAGAGAAUAAAGCAGACAUACAGAGAAAAGCAGACAAGAUUGCAUGUUCUGACAGUUCAUUUCUAGCUCUUCUCGUUCCUGAGGCCGAGGUGCACCUUGCAGUGGUUCGGUUGACCACCUUCCUUAAAUUCCGUGAGCCAAGAAACUUCCUUUUCUGCUUGAAGGUCCUGAAGGAAAUCCAGGAAGCCAUUCUUUGAUGAAGUCUGCACCCACCCUCGCUGAAAGUGAACUGACUGCUGGAAUAUGAAAUCGUCAUCAUCACAGUUAGUGGGAGGCAAGAGCUGGUGAAAGGAG